rnacentral:rRNA from 1 species
GGCAGCGGGGGCUUCGGCCUGCCGGCGAGUGGCGAACGGGUGAGUAAUGCAUCGGAACGUGCCCAAGUCGUGGGGGAUAACGUAUCGAAAGGUACGCUAAUACCGCAUACGUCCUGAGGGAGAAAGCGGGGGAUUCUUCGGAACCUCGCGCGAUUGGAGCGGCCGAUGUCGGAUUAGCUAGUAGGUGAGGUAAAGGCUCACCUAGGCGACGAUCCGUAGCGGGUCUGAGAGGAUGAUCCGCCACACUGGGACUGAGACACGGCCCAGACUCCUACGGGAGGCAGCAGUGGGGAAUUUUGGACAAUGGGCGCAAGCCUGAUCCAGCCAUGCCGCGUGAGUGAAGAAGGCCUUCGGGUUGUAAAGCUCUUUCGGCCGGGAAGAAAUCGUGUUCUCUAACAUAGGACAUGGAUGACGGUACCGGACUAAGAAGCACCGGCUAACUACGUGCCAGCAGCCGCGGUAAUACGUAGGGUGCGAGCGUUAAUCGGAAUUACUGGGCGUAAAGCGUGCGCAGGCGGUUUUGUAAGACAGAUGUGAAAUCCCCGGGCUUAACCUGGGAACUGCGUUUGUGACUGCAAGGCUAGAGUACGGCAGAGGGGGGUGGAAUUCCUGGUGUAGCAGUGAAAUGCGUAGAUAUCAGGAGGAACACCGAUGGCGAAGGCAGCCCCCU